GGCUCAGAAUCAACGCUGGCGGCGUGCCUAACACAUGCAAGUCGUACGCGAAAGGGGCUUCGGCCCUGAGUAGAGUGGCAAACGGGUGAGUAACACGUGGGUGACCUGCCUUCGAGUGGGGGAUAACGUCCCGAAAGGGGCGCUAAUACCGCAUAACAUCCCGCUUUUGGAGAAGUGGAGAUCAAAGCCGGGGAUCGCAAGACCUGGCGCUUGAAGAGGGGCCCGCGCCUGAUUAGCUAGUUGGUAGGGUAACGGCCUACCAAGGCGACGAUCAGUAGCCGGCCUGAGAGGGCGGACGGCCACACUGGGACUGAGACACGGCCCAGACUCCUACGGGAGGCAGCAGUGGGGAAUUGUUCGCAAUGGGCGCAAGCCUGACGACGCAACGCCGCGUGGAGGAUGAAGAUCUUCGGGUCGUAAACUCCUGUCGAGUGGGAAGAACCGCUUCGGGGCUAAUACCCCCGGAGCCUGACGGUACCACUAAAGGAAGCCCCGGCUAACUCCGUGCCAGCAGCCGCGGUAAUACGGGGGGGGCAAGCGUUGUUCGGAAUUACUGGGCGUAAAGGGCUCGUAGGCGGCCGACUAAGUCGGAUGUGAAAUCCCCAGGCUCAACCUGGGAACUGCAUCCGAUACUGGCCGGCUUGAAUCCGGGAGAGGGAUGCGGAAUUCCAGGUGUAGCGGUGAAAUGCGUAGAUAUCUGGAGGAACACCGGUGGCGAAGG
rnacentral:rRNA from 1 species